CCCUUAGAUGUUCUGGGCCGCACGCGCGCUACACUGACGAAGUCAGCGAGCAUGUCCUACGCCGACAGGUGCGGGGAAUCUUGUCAAACUUCGUCGUGAUGGGGAUUGAUUUUUGAAAUUCUUGAUCAUAAACGAGGAAUUCCUAGUAAGCGCAAGUCAGCAGCUUGCGUUGAUUACGUCCCUGCCCUUUGUACACACCGCCCGUCGCUACUACCGAUUGAAUGGUUUAGUGAGAUCUUCGGAUUGGCGCCUACGCGGCUUCUCUGAGGCCACGCUGGAUGCCGAAAAGUUGCUCAAACUGUAUCAUUUAGAGGAAGUAAAAGUCGUAACA
rnacentral:rRNA from 1 species